UUUGAUGGCGACCGGCGCACGGGUGAGUAAUACGUAUCCAACCUGCCGAUGACUCGGGGAUAGCCUUUCGAAAGAAAGAUUAAUACCCGAUGGCAUAGUUCUUCCGCAUGGUAGAACUAUUAAAGAAUUUCGGUCAUCGAUGGGGAUGCGUUCCAUUAGGUUGUUGGCGGGGUAACGGCCCACCAAGCCUUCGAUGGAUAGGGGUUCUGAGAGGAAGGUCCCCCACAUUGGAACUGAGACACGGUCCAAACUCCUACGGGAGGCAGCAUG
rnacentral:rRNA from 1 species